CCUACGGGGGGCAGCAGUGGGGAAUAUUGGACAAUGGGGGGAACCCUGAUCCAGCCAUGCCGCGUGUGUGAAGAAGGCCCUCGGGUUGUAAAGCACUUUCAGUGAGGAAGAACGCCUGGUGGUUAAUACCCAUCAGGAAAGACAUCACUCACAGAAGAAGCACCGGCUAACUCCGUGCCAGCAGCCGCGGUAAUACGGAGGGUGCGAGCGUUAAUCGGAAUUACUGGGCGUAAAGCGCGCGUAGGUGGCUCGAUAAGCCGGUUGUGAAAGCCCCGGGCUCAACCUGGGAACGGCAUCCGGAACUGUCAAGCUAGAGUGCAGGAGAGGAAGGUAGAAUUCCCGGUGUAGCGGUGAAAUGCGUAGAGAUCGGGAGGAAUACCAGUGGCGAAGGCGGCCUUCUGGACUGACACUGACACUGAGGUGCGAAAGCGUGGGUAGCAAACAGGAUUAGAUACCCGUGUAGUC
rnacentral:rRNA from 1 species